rnacentral:rRNA from 1 species
GAUGAACGCUGGCGGCGUGCCUAAUACAUGCGAGUCGAGCGAACAGACGAGGAGCUUGCUCCUCUGACGUUAGCGGCGGACGGGUGAGUAACACGUGGAUAACCUACCUAUAAGACUGGGAUAACUUCGGGAAACCGGAGCUAAUACCGGAUAAUAUAUUGAACCGCAGGGUCCAAUAGUGAAAGACGGUUUUGCUGUCACUUAUAGAUGGAUCCGCGCCGCAUUAGCUAGUUGGUAAGGUAACGGCUUACCAAGGCGACGAUGCGUAGCCGACCUGAGAGGGUGAUCGGCCACACUGGAACUGAGACACGGCCCAGACUCCUACGGGAGGCAGCAGUAGGGAAUCUUCCGCAAUGGGCGAAAGCCUGACGGAGCAACGCCGCGUGAGUGAUGAAGGUCUUCGGAUCGUAAAACUCUGUUAUUAGGGAAGAACACAUGUGUAAGUAACUAUGCACGUCUUGACGGUACCUGAUCAGAAAGCCACGGCUAACUACGUG